rnacentral:rRNA from 1 species
CCCUUAGACGUUCUGGGCCGCACGCGCGCUACACUGACGGAGCCAGCGAGCUUUUCCUUAACCGAGAGGUUUGGGUAAUCUUGUGAAACUCCGUCGUGCUGGGGAUAGAGCAUUGUAAUUAUUGCUCUUCAACGAGGAAUUCCUAGUAAGCGCAAGUCAUCAGCUUGCGUUGAUUACGUCCCUGCCCUUUGUACACACCGCCCGUCGCUAGUACCGAUUGAAUGGCUUAGUGAGGCUUCAGGAUUUGCUUAGAUCGAGGGGCAACCCUCUUUCAGAGCGGAGAAUCUAGUCAAACUUGGUCAUUUAGAGGAACUAAAAGUCGUAACA